rnacentral:tRNA from 1 species
ACUAGAUUGACGGGCCUCGAUCCCGCAAAAUAUUAAUUAACAACUAAAUACCCUAUCCAGCGGGCUUCAAUCUA